rnacentral:rRNA from 1 species
UCAGAUUGAACGCUGGCGGCAGGCCUAACACAUGCAAGUCGAGCGGUAACAGAAAGUAGCUUGCUACUUUGCUGACGAGCGGCGGACGGGUGAGUAAUGCUUGGGAACAUGCCUUGAGGUGGGGGACAACAGUUGGAAACGACUGCUAAUACCGCAUAAUGUCUACGGACCAAAGGGGGCUUCGGCUCUCGCCUUUAGAUUGGCCCAAGUGGGAUUAGCUAGUUGGUGAGGUAAUGGCUCACCAAGGCGACGAUCCCUAGCUGGUUUGAGAGGAUGAUCAGCCACACUGGGACUGAGACACGGCCCAGACUCCUACGGGAGGCAGCAGUGGGGAAUAUUGCACAAUGGGCGCAAGCCUGAUGCAGCCAUGCCGCGUGUGUGAAGAAGGCCUUCGGGUUGUAAAGCACUUUCAGUCAGGAGGAAAGCGUGGUGGUUAAUACCCAUCAUGUGUGACGUUACUGACAGAAGAAGCACCGGCUAACUCCGUGCCAGCAGCCGCGGUAAUACGGAGGGUGCGAGCGUUAAUCGGAAUUACUGGGCGUAAAGCGUACGCAGGCGGUUUGUUAAGCGAGAUGUGAAAGCCCCGGGCUCAACCUGGGAACUGCAUUUCGAACUGGCAAACUAGAGUGUGAUAGAGGGUGGUAGAAUUUCAGGUGUAGCGGUGAAAUGCGUAGAGAUCUGAAGGAAUACCGAUGGCGAAGGCAGCCACCUGGGUCAACACUGACGCUCAUGUACGAAAGCGUGGGGAGCAAACGGGAUUAGAUACCCCGGUAGUCCACGCCGUAAACGAUGUCUACUAGAAGCUCGGAGCCUCGGUUCUGUUUUUCAAAGCUAACGCAUUAAGUAGACCGCCUGGGGAGUACGGCCGCAA